rnacentral:rRNA from 1 species
AAAGAUACCCCGGUAGUCCUGGCCGUAAACCAUGAGCACUGGGUAGGGGGCUCGCCGAUGGGUCCCCUGCCGCAGCGAAAGCGUGAAGUGCUCCGCCUGGGGAGUAUGGCCGCAAGGCUGAAACUCGAAGGAAUUGACGGGGGCUCACACAAGCGGUGGAGCAUGUGGCUUAAUUCGAGGCUACGCGAAGAACCUUAUCCCGGGCUUGACAUGCACGGAUUAGCCUCCUGAAAGGGAGGUGACGCCUUCGGGUGGAACGUGCACAGGUGCUGCAUGGCUGUCGUCAGCUCGUGCCGUGAGGUGUUGGGUUAAGUCCCGUAACGAGCGAACCCUGCGACCAGUUGCCAUCAUUAAGUUGGGGACUCUGGUCGGACCGCCGGCGUCAAGCCGGAGGAAGGCGGGGACGACGUCAAGUCAUCAUGGCCCUUAUGCCCGGGGCUGCACACGUGCUACAAUGGGCCGGACAGAGCGUCGCCACUGCGCAAGCAGGAGCCAAUCGCAGAAACCGGCCCCAGUUCGGAUU